rnacentral:rRNA from 1 species
UACGAAGGGGGGCUAGCGUUGCUCGGAAUUACUGGGCGUAAAGGGAGCGUAGGCGGACAUUUAAGUCAGGGGUGAAAUCCCAGAGCUCAACUCUGGAACUGCCUUUGAUACUGGGUGUCUUGAGUGUGAGAGAGGUAUGUGGAACUCCGAGUGUAGAGGUGAAAUUCGUAGAUAUUCGGAAGAACACCAGUGGCGAAGGCGACAUACUGGCUCAUUACUGACGCUGAGGCUCGAAAGCCGUGGGGGAGCAAACAGG